rnacentral:rRNA from 1 species
UACGAAGGGGGCUAGCGUUGCUCGGAAUUACUGGGCGUAAAGCGUGCGUAGGCGGUGACUUAAGUCUGUUGUGAAAUCCCCGGGCUCAACCUGGGAAUGGCAAUGGAUACUGGGUCGCUAGAGUGUGAUAGAGGAUGGUGGAAUUCCCGGUGUAGCGGUGAAAUGCGUAGAGAUCGGGAGGAACAUCAGUGGCGAAGGCGGCCAUCUGGAUCAACACUGACGCUGAGGCACGAAAGCUAGGGGAGCAAACAGG